AGUGAACGCUGGCGGUAGGCCUAACACAUGCAAGUCGAACGGCAGCACAGUAAGAGCUUGCUCUUACGGGUGGCGAGUGGCGGACGGGUGAGGAAUACAUCGGAAUCUACUUUUUCGUGGGGGAUAACGUAGGGAAACUUACGCUAAUACCGCAUACGACCUACGGGUGAAAGCAGGGGAUCUUCGGACCUUGCCCGAUUGAAUGACCCGAUGUCGGAUUAGCUAGUUGGCGGGGUAAAGGCCCACCAAGGCGACGAUCCGUAGCUGGUCUGAGAGGAUGAUCAGCCACACUGGAACUGAGACACGGUCCAGACUCCUACGGGAGGCAGCAGUGGGGAAUAUUGGACAAUGGGCGCAAGCCUGAUCCAGCCAUACCGCGUGGGUGAAGAAGGCCUUCGGGUUGUAAAGCCCUUUUGUUGGGAAAGAAAAGCAGCAGGUUAAUACCCCGCUGUUCUGACGGUACCCAAAGAAUAAGCACCGGCUAACUUCGUG
rnacentral:rRNA from 1 species